rnacentral:misc_RNA from 1 species
AACUGAUACUACCUGCGGGAACCUGCGGAAGGAUCAUUAUUGAAUUAUGUUUCUAGAUGGGUUGUAGCUGGCUCUUUCGAGCAUGUGCACGCCUGUUUGGAUUUCAUCUUCAUCCACCUGUGCACCUAUUGUAGUCUUUGGAUGGGCAUCGAGGAAGUGGUCAGCCUUGUCAGCAUUUGCUGGAUGUGAGGACUUGCGGUGGCGAAAGCCUUUGCUGUCCUUUACUUGGCCACGGAACCG